CGGUCCGAUCUUUAAUCCGACUUCGGUAACGUGGUCUACGAAGUCCGAUGUACGUUUCUACCGAUUAGUUUGAGUGGCACAUUGCGAGGCAUUGACUAGGGAGCUUAGUUAAGCUUGUUAUCCGCGCAAUCAAGACUCUGAUGCCUUGACUGCAGGUUCAGUGGAUUUAAUGAAUGACAUCGUAGCAUAGUACUUGGGAUGUUAUGACUGAAGCCCGAUGCGACAGUUAUAAUGGUUGGACCAUGGGUUGUCUGCCUUUUGGUGGACUUUGUUUAUGGCUCGUGGCGUCUGCAACA